rnacentral:tRNA from 1 species
CGGGGUGUAGCUCAGCUUGGUAGAGCACCACGUUCGGGACGUGGGGGUCGGAGGUUCAAAUCCUCUCACCCCGACCA